CUGGUCAUGAAGCAGACAAACUUCACAGGCUAUGUCUUCUCUCAAGAUCAAAGACCUAAGAAACCCUUCCCCACUCUCCUUCAUUGAACCUGUCCUGUGCAACAGAAAUUACUGGGAAGUUCAGGGCUCUCAGACUUCUGACCCUGGCCACAAUGGACAAAUACAUGAACCUGGAAAAAUAGAAGUUAACAGGAUGGGAGUUGUUAACCAGACAACUGGAGCCUUGAAAACAGAGGUAAG
rnacentral:lncRNA from 1 species